rnacentral:rRNA from 1 species
CGCAAGCCUGACGGAGCAAGACCGCGUGGGGGAGGAAUGCCUUAGGGUUGUAAACCCCUUUUAUCUGGGAAGAACAAAAUGACGGUACCAGAUGAAUAAGCCUCGGCUAACUCCGUGCCAGCAGCCGCGGUAAUACGGAGGAGGCAAGCGUUAUCCGGAAUUAUUGGGCGUAAAGAGUCCGUAGGUGGUUCAUCAAGUCUGCUGUUAAAGCGUGCAGCUCAACUGCAUAUAGGCAGUGGAAACUGUUGAACUAGAGUAUGGUAGGGGUAGGGGGAAUUCCCAGUGUAGCGGUGAAAUGCGUAGAGAUUGGGAAGAACAUCGGUGGCGAAAGCGCUUUGCUAGACCGAAACUGACACUCAGGGACGAAAGCUAGGGGAGCG